UACGUAGGGGGCAAGCGUUGUCCGGAUUCAUUGGGCGUAAAGAGCGUGUAGGCGGCCUGGAAGGUCAGCUGUGAAAACUCGAGGCUCAACCUCGAGACGUCGGUUGAAACCACCUGGCUAGAGUCCGGAAGAGGAGUGUGGAAUUCCCGGUGUAGCGGUGGAAAUGCGUAGAGAUCGGAAAGAACACCAACGGCGAAAGCACUCUGCUGGGCCGACACUGACACUGAGAGACGAAAGCUAGGGGAGCGAAUGGG
rnacentral:rRNA from 1 species